AUGGUGUCCAUGAGGAUGGGAGCCUCUCUCUCCAGUUACUAUUUGCCGCAGACCUCCCUGGCUUACUGGGGCAACUCUGAGGUCCCUUCCACACACCUGAAGAGGAAUCCCCACAGGAGAUCCAAGAAUCGUGCUGGGACUGUGAAUAUAUGUGCACAGUGUAAUACUCUAUUGCAGUUGGUUUGCAAAUUCUGGAGUUCUCUGGUGAAAUCUGAAACUGGUUUCAGAUGUAGAGGGAAAUCUCUCCAGCUGCCUGGGCCCAGGCUGCAAUGGGUCAACCAGAGCUCACAUCCUCUCCAUUACCUCCUCCCACAGUUAACAAAGGUGAAGUUACAGAAGCAUAUGUGUUGCUAUAUAAAGUUGUUUGCAUUUUAUUGUCAAGGAACAAAUGUAGGUUUUAUAUAUAUGCAUGUAUAUAUGUUUGUAUGUAUACUUAUAAAUUUUAAAACCGUUAUUUUAAAAUAUUAACAGACGCUGGCAAAAAUCUAGAUGCAUACUUUUAAGUUGAAACUUUCAGGGUCUUCGAGAGUUGGAGUUCUGGUUAGGUUAUUAUUUCCUCUUGCUUACUUUCUGUAUUUCUUGAUUUUUCUAUGACAAAUUUGCAAUAUUCUGUAAAAGAUAUUAUUUUUAUUUCUGUCACUUAUAUUUAAAUGGAUUAACAUUUUGUUUAAAUUUCAUUCCAGUUAAUAGGACGAGAUUUUGCUUUUGACAUUUUAAUAAAUCACUUAACUAAUCCCUGAAUCCGAUGGAG
rnacentral:lncRNA from 1 species